rnacentral:tRNA from 1 species
GAAGGUAUAGUUCAGUGGAAGAGUGUCUGCUUAGCACGCACAAGGUUCUGGGUUCAAUCCCCAGUACCUCCA